rnacentral:lncRNA from 1 species
UGAAAGAAAGAGCAGCAAAAGAAACCCAAUCGUCAGAACCAUUUUCCCUCAAAAAACUUAAACAGAACCAGCUAAAGCUCUCCAAUCUCUAGGAAAACAGAAAUGCAUGAAGCCAUCAACAAAACCCAGAAGAGAGCGGAGCUUCAAUUUAUUCAUCGGAGUAAAGAAUCAAAAUUCCCGACGAACUAAAGCCAAAGAAACCUAAUGCAGAAAGGAGCAGUUCGCCAUGUCUAUCUUUGCGACUCGCUCAACUAUCUUCGGGGCUUCCUCGAUCCAGAAUCGACCCUCAGGAUCUUGGCGCCCCUCCUUGGCCAAGGUAUGAACGCAUUAUUUCCUUCUGUUUUAACAUGAGGGAAAGUAAUUUGCUCAAAAAAAACCCAACCUUUGUUUGAUAUCUGCUAAGAUCAGGCUAAGAACUGAUCUAUCAUUUGUAUUUGCAUGGAAUUUCUUUAUAAUCGUCAAUGAGUCUCCCUCAAUCUGGACGCGACGAAAGCCAAUAUCCUGUGCAAAUCAAAUCGCCUGCUCGUAUGUCCGGGCUUCUACAACAAAGGCAUCGGCAAUAUUAAUAUGAGGG